rnacentral:lncRNA from 1 species
AAUCUGCCCAUAAUUAUCCUCUAAAUUACCAAUAAUACCCUUGACCUCAAGAACCAAACCCCAGAACCCAUCAAUCCAACCUCUCUUCCAAUUCCCAUGGCAGAUUUCAGACAACCUCUCUUUACAACUCUCGAGCCGCUUCAAAGCACAGACAAGCUCGAUCGUAUCUCCAAAGCUCAAAGUGUUGGAUCGUUCUUUAAACUCGUUGAAUCUCGUGUAAAGCUCGUUGAUCGAAGACACGUAGUCUUCUCCUACCAACUGAGUGAUUUUGUCUGCGAGGGAUUUCCCACCGGAGAAGGGUAGAUCCGGAAUUUUACAUGCUUCUUCUAGUAGACCAACGAGAGCAUCGAUCUCACGAAGCAGAUCAGAGUUGAAAGCUCCCACAUCAAAGGAGAUUUCUCAUCUCUAAAAGCAGAAAGUUUCAGAUAAUUCCGACCACCGGAAGCUGGAAAUACAGAGAGCUGAUCUUGGAGGAUGAAACGACCGUGUUUGACGAUGUGAUGGAUAAUGAUCAAAGACUUGAGAGCUACGCAAGCAUCUCCGGUGGUGUGAAGACGUUCCAUUAUGGAUUCGACAGCUGAAGAAGCGGUGGCUCGUGAGCCAGUACCGGCGGAGAGAAUAACGGCGAGGUGACGAUUCCCCGGCGGCGUUGAAGGGUCAUGAGUAGUGGCACGGAGGACAGAGAGAUGGAAAGAGAGAGUUUUGCUUUUAGUGUUUGAUGAUACUAAAGCAGCUUUGCUUUGAGAAGCUUUGUCUUUGAUUCUACCUAUUAGAUCUGCAAAACUUGUUAUUCUUCCCAUCGAUGAAUCGACGAUGAUCUACUACACCAGGUAGAUAUGACUUGUUUUGUUUUUCUUGCUUUUUGAUGGACUAAAAAGAAGAUAAUAUAUAGUAGUUUUUUUUGGUCAAUAAAGGAAACUGUUUUAUUC